CAGUCGCCGCGGGAAUACCAGCACCUCGAGUGGUCAGGAGGUUUAUUGGGCCUAAAGCAUCCGUAGCCGGUUGCAUAAGUUUUCGGUUAAAUCUAUGCGCUUAACGUAUAGGCCGCCGAAAAUACUGUGCAGCUAGGGAGUGGGAGAGGUACACGGUACUCGAUAGGAAGGGGUAAAAUCCUUUGAUCUAUUGAUGACCACCUGUGGCGAAGGCGGUGUACCAGAACACGUUCGACGGUGAGGGAUGAAAGCUGGGGGAGCAAACCGGAUUAGAUACCCGUGUAGUCCCUGUCUCUUAUAC
rnacentral:rRNA from 1 species